rnacentral:ncRNA from 1 species
AUGAUAGAGGCGCGGAAACGCAAGAGUAUCCGGUCGUACUGCAAAGGGGCAGCGCACCCCACCGGAGAAAGGGCUUUCCGCCGAAGGGCCGGCCAUUUGCCUGAGGGCCGGUUGCCUGGGCCGUUGGGAGAACAUCUCACGGACUGCCACAUCGUUCUGUGUGGAGCGCUAUCA